rnacentral:rRNA from 1 species
CAGCAGUAGCCGCGGUAAAACGGAGGGUGCAAGCGUUAAUCGGAAUUACUGGGCGUAAAGCGCACGCAGGCGGUCUGACAAGUCAGAUGUGAAAUCCCCGGGCUUAACCUGGGAACUGCAUUUGAAACUGUCAGGCUGGAGUCUUGUAGAGGGGGGUGGAAUUCCAGGUGUAGCGGUGAAAUGCGUAGAGAUCUGGAGGAAUACCGGUGGCGAAGGCGGCCCCCUGGACAAAGACUGACGCUCAGGUGCGAAAGCGUGGGGAGCAAACAGGAUUAGAUACCCGGGUAGUCCCUGUCUCUUAUAC